GACGAACGCUGGCGGCGUGCCUAACACAUGCAAGUCGAACGGGGUCUACAGAGAAGCUUGCUUUUUUGUAAACCUAGUGGCGGACGGGUGAGUAACGCGUGGAUAACCUGCCUGUAAGACCGGGAUAACACCGGGAAACCGGUGCUAAUACCGGACGUGCUGUAAAGGGGGCAUCCCCUUUACAGGGAAGGGACGUAAGUCUGCUUACAGAUGGGUCCGCGUCCCAUUAGCUAGCUGGUGGGGUAACGGCCUACCAGGGCGACGAUGGGUAGCCGGCCUGAGAGGGUGGACGGCCACACUGGGACUGAGACACGGCCCAGACUCCUACGGGAGGCAGCAGUAGGGAAUUUUCCGCAAUGGGCGAAAGCCUGACGGAGCAACGCCGCGUGAGGGAGGAAGGCCUUCGGGUCGUAAACCUUUGUCAUCGAGGACGAUAAUGACGGUACUCGAGGAGGAAGCCCCGGCUAACUACGUGCCAGCAGCCGCGGUAACAC
rnacentral:rRNA from 1 species